rfam:Schistosoma haematobium scaffold87_45, whole genome shotgun sequence.
AUCCAGCUGACGAGUCUCAACUAGGACGAAACGCGCAUCCUGGAU